GACGAACGCUGGCGGCGUGCUUAACACAUGCAAGUCGAACGGAAAGGCCCUGCUUUUGUGGGGUGCUCGAGUGGCGAAAGGGUGAGUAACACGUGAGUAACCUGCCCUUGACUUUGGGAUAACUUCAGGAAACUGGGGCUAAUACCGGAUAGGAGCUCCUGCUGCAUGGUGGGGGUUGGAAAGUUUCGGCGGUUGGGGAUGGACUCGCGGCUUAUCAGCUUGUUGGUGGGGUAGUGGCUUACCAAGGCUUUGCCGGGUAGCCGGCCUGAGAGGGUGACCGGCCACGUUGGGACUCAGGUACGGCCCAGACUUCUACGGGAGGCAGCAGUGGGCAAAAGUGCACAGUGGGCGGAAGGCUGGUGCGGCAACGCCGUGUGCGGGAUGACGGCCUUCGGGUUGUAAACCGCUUUCGCCUGUGAGGAAGGGUGAGUGCCGGAAAUGGGUAAAGAAGCACCGGCUAACUACGUG
rnacentral:rRNA from 1 species